rnacentral:rRNA from 1 species
CCUACGGGAGGCAGCAGUGAGGAAUUUUCUGCAAUGGGCGAAAGCCUGACAGAGCAAUACCGCGUGAGGGAUGAAGACUUACUGAGUUGUAAACCUCGGUGCCUUAAGGAAGAAGAUCUGACGGUACUUAAGGUGGAAAGCAUCGGCUAACUCCGUGCCAGCAGCCGCGGUAAGACGGGGGAUGCAAGUGUUAUCCGGAAUUACUGGGCGUAAAGCGUCUGCAGGUGGUUUUAUAAGUCUGCUGUUAAAUCUUGAGGCUCAACCUCAAAUCUGCAGUGGAAACUAUAAGACUUGAGUAUAGUAGGGGUAGAGGGAAUUUCCAGUGGAGCGGUGAAAUGCGUAGAUAUUGGAAAGAACACCGAUGGCGAAGGCACUCUACUGGGCUAUUACUGACACCCAGAGACGAAAGCUAGGGGAGCAAAUGGGAUUAGAUACCCCAGUAGUCCUAGCCGUAAACGAUGGAUACUCGAUGUGUACGUAUCGUACCGUCUAGUAUCUUAGUCUACGUACGUAGUAUCCGUCCGUCGGGAGUACGCGUCGCGAGAGAGAACGUAACUAAUAGUUAGUUAGUACGGCGUUGAGACGUUGCCGACGGACGACGACGAGGGAGGAGG